CCUACGUGAGGCAGCAGUGGGGGAUAUUGCACAAUGGGGGAAACCCUGAUGCAGCGACGCCGCGUGAGUGAAGAAGUAUUUCGGUAUGUAAAGCUCUAUCAGCAGGGAAGAAAAUGACAGUACCUGACCAAGAAGCCCCGGCUAACUACGUGCCAGCAGCCGCGGUAAUACGUAGGGGGCAAGCGUUAUCCGGAUUUCCUGGGCGUAAAGGGUGCGUAGGUGGUUUGGCAAGUUAGUAGCGUAACUCCAAGGCUCAACCUUGGAACUACUACUAAAAUUGUUGGACUUGAGUGCAGGAGGGGCAACCGGAAUUACUAGUGUAGCGGUGGAAUGCGUAGAUAUUAGGAGGAACACCAGUGGCGAAGGCGGGUUGCUAGACUGUAACUGACACUGAGGCACGAAAGCGUGGGGAGCAAACAGGAUUAGAUACCCCAGUAGUU
rnacentral:rRNA from 1 species